AGUGAACGCUGGCGGUAGGCCUAACACAUGCAAGUCGAACGGCAGCACAGUAAGAGCUUGCUCUUACGGGUGGCGAGUGGCGGACUGGUGAGGAAUACAUCGGAAUCUACUUUUUCGUGGGGGAUAACGUAGGGAAACUUACGCUAAUACCGCAUACGACCUACGGGUGAAAGCAGGGGAUCUUCGGACCUUUCGCGAUUGAAUGAGCCGAUGUCGGAUUAGCUAGUUGGCGGGGUAAAGGCGCACCAAGGCGACGAUCCGUAGCUGGUCUGAGAGGAUGAUCAGCCACACUGGAACUGAGACACGGUCCAGACUCCUACGGGAGGCAGCAGUGGGGAAUAUUGGACAAUGGGCGAAAGCCUGAUCCAGCCAUACCGCGUGGGUGAAGAAGGCCUUCGGGUUGUAAAGCCCUUUUGUUGGGAAAGAAAAGCAGCAGGUUAAUACCCCGCUGUUAUGACGGUACCAAAAGAAUAAGCACCGGCUAACUUCGUG
rnacentral:rRNA from 1 species